UAGGGAAUCUUCGGCAAUGGGGGCAACCCUGACCGAGCAACGCCGCGUGAGUGAAGAAGGUUUUCGGAUCGUAAAGCUCUGUUGUAAGUCAAGAACGGGUGUGAGAGUGGAAAGUUCACACUGUGACGGUAGCUUACCAGAAAGGGACGGCUAACUACGUGCCAGCAGCCGCGGUAAUACGUAGGUCCCGAGCGUUGUCCGGAUUUAUUGGGCGUAAAGCGAGCGCAGGCGGUUUGAUAAGUCUGAAGUUAAAGGCUGUGGCUCAACCGUAGUUCGCUUUGGAAACUGUCAAACUUGAGUGCAGAAGGGGAGAGUGGAAUUCCAUGUGUAGCGGUGAAAUGCGUAGAUAUAUGGAGGAACACCGGUGGCGAAAGCGGCUCUCUGGUCUGUAACUGACGCUGAGGCUCGAAAGCGUGGGGAGCGAACAGGAUUAGAUACCCUGGUAGUCCACGCCGUAAACGAUGAGUGCUAGGUGUUGGAUCCUUUCCGGGAUUCAGUGCCGCAGCUAACGCAUUAAGCACUCCGCCUGGGGAGUACGACCGCAAGGUUGAA
rnacentral:rRNA from 1 species